rnacentral:lncRNA from 1 species
UAAUGGCUUCGGCUAGUCACUAGUGCUUAACAUUCGGGCCCGUGACACUCAGUGUCUUCUCCAUCAUUCGUUUCUAAAUUUUGAAAUGACGGAUCCUCUAUUUAUGUGGCCUGCUACUCUUAAGAGAUAUUACCCGUGGUCUCUCUGGACACAACCAAUCUCUAAACAAUCGGUGGUGUUAAAAAGCCAUGCCGGAUACCCCUUUGCCUUCGAUGUGCGUUGUUUUGUUCGAGCUCUCUCUCUCGAUGGUCUUCUCAUGGAGUUUGCUCGUUUUGAGAAUUUGUAUGCUUUUGGGGUCUCUCUGCACGAUCUUUUCGUUCUACCUACUUUAGUACGCAACGAUGGAUUAGGGUGUUCCAGAUGUGCUGUCGUGUAGCAUGUAACGAUCCAGAUUCUUUCAUGUCAACCAAUUAACCUCUGUUGGGAUUUUGGAAAGAGCCUUUUUGUUAGGACUGGGCUUUUAGGUUUUUUUUUUUUUUUAAUUGGACUAGAUGAGUUUUGAUUGGUUCUACCCAUCUUGCCUAUUGGAUCUGAUGUAUUUUGUAGCUUCCGCCAUAAUGAAUGGCAUUCAUGAAUUUUUUUUUUAAAAAAAAAAAAAUCUAUUACGUACAACCAUUUUUUUCACCGCAGCCGGGAUGAAGAAUAGGAAAACAACUUCGCAAGGAAUUUAGAAAACAAGGCUAUGUUUAUACGGACCAAUUAAGAUAAAAAGUUUUAUACUUGCAAAUAGUCCAAAUGUGAUAAAGCUGAAAUCGAAUUAUUGUUCUAUAGCUCUCUCUCUAUAUAUAUGUAAUAAAAGACAUUUGUUUAUACCCUUCGUUAUUCCAGGGUAACAGUUGCAACCUUAUCAUGCCUCGGUGGAGAUUGA